rnacentral:rRNA from 1 species
AGUGAACGCUGGCGGUAGGCCUAACACAUGCAAGUCGAACGGCAGCACAGUAAGAGCUUGCUCUUACGGGUGGCGAGUGGCGGACGGGCGAGGAAUACAUCGGAAUCUACUUUUUCGUGGGGGAUAACGUAGGGAAACUUACGCUAAUACCGCAUACGACCUACGGGUGAAAGCAGGGGAUCUUCGGACCUUGCGCGAUUGAAUGAGCCGAUGUCGGAUUAGCUAGUUGGCGGGGUAAAGGCCCACCAAGGCGACGAUCCGUAGCUGGUCUGAGAGGAUGAUCAGCCACACUGGAACUGAGACACGGUCCAGACUCCUACGGGAGGCAGCAGUGGGGAAUAUUGGACAAUGGGCGCAAGCCUGAUCCUGCCAUACCGCGUGGGUGAAGAAGGCCUUCGGGUUGUAAAGCCCUUUUGUUGGGAAAGAAAAGCAGCAGGUUAAUACCCCGCUGUUCUGACGGUACCCAAAGAAUAAGCACCGGCUAACUUCGUG